rnacentral:lncRNA from 1 species
GGUAAAUGUAUAAGUGCCAAUGAGACUUGUUCAAGUCACAAUGUGUAAAAAAUAAUAAUAGGUAAAAGUCAGGCCUACAACACAGAGGCUUUGCUCUCACCGAACAGCAAGCUCUAAAGUAAAGGGCUCAAAUUUGAAAUGACUAAUGUAAAACUAUUGAAAAAGGAAAACCAGCAGUCUAAUCAAUAUAAAAAACGAGAAACACUAGUGAUCCACAUAAACAAAUGCCAACC